UACGUAGGGUGCGAGCGUUGUCCGGAAUUAUUGGGCGUAAAGGGCUCGUAGGCGGUUUGUCACGUCUGCUGUGAAAUCCCGAGGCUCAACCUCGGGCCUGCAGUGGGUACGGGCAGACUAGAGUGUGGUAGGGGAGACUGGAAUUCCUGGUGUAGCGGUGGAAUGCGCAGAUAUCAGGAGGAACACCGAUGGCGAAGGCAGGUCUCUGGGCCACUACUGACGCUGAGGAGCGAAAGCAUGGGGAGCGAACAGG
rnacentral:rRNA from 1 species